GCCCAGCCGUAAACAAUUAACUUACACCUACCAGCGCCAGGGAAUUACGAGCUAUGCUUAAAACCCAAAGGACUUGACGGUGUCCCACCCCCCUAGAGGAGCCUGUUUUGUAAUCGAUAAUCCCCGCUAUACCUCACCAUUUCUAGCCUUAUCAGUCUGUAUACCUCCGUCGAAAGCCUACCAUGUGAACGUCUGUCUACAGUAGGCCUAAUGAUCCUAACAUCAAUACGUCAGGUCAAGGUGCAGCUUACGAAAUGGAAGCUAAUGGGCUACAAUUUCUAAUUUAGAACAAACGAAAGCCUGCAUGAAACUGCAACACGAAGGUGGAUUUAGUAGUAAAAAGAAAAUAGAGAGUUCUUUUUAACCCGGCCCUGGGACGUGUACAAACCGCCCGUCACCCUCUUCGACAGCUACAACUCAGAUUAAUAACCUUACAUUUGCACCAGAGAAGAGGCAAGUCGUAACAUGGUAAGCGUACUGGAAAGUGCACUUGGACUACAAAAUGUAGCUUAA
rnacentral:rRNA from 1 species